GACGAACGCUAGCUACAGGCUUAACACAUGCAAGUCGAGGGGUAACGAGAGGGAAGCUUGCUUUCCUUGUCGACGACCGGCGGAUGGGUGAGUAACGCGUAUCCAACCUGCCCUUCAGUAAGGGAUAGCCUUUCGAAAGAAAGAAUAAUACCUUAUGUGAUCGUUUGAUGACAUCAGACGACGAUCAAAGAUUUAUCGCUGAAGGAUGGGGAUGCGUCCCAUUAGGCAGUAGGCGGGGUAACGGCCCACCUAACCUACGAUGGGUAGGGGUUCUGAGAGGAAGGUCCCCCACAUUGGAACUGAGACACGGUCCAAACUCCUACGGGAGGCAGCAGUGAGGAAUAUUGGACAAUGGGUGAGAGCCUGAUCCAGCCAUGCCGCGUGCAGGAAGAAGGCGUUAUGCGUUGUAAACUGCUUUUGCCAGGGGAUAAAAUGAGCGUGCGCGCUUAAUUGAAGGUACCUGGUGAAUAAGCCACGGCUAACUACGUGCCAGCAGCCGCCGUAA
rnacentral:rRNA from 1 species